rnacentral:rRNA from 1 species
GCCUAACACAUGCAAGUCGAACGGCAGCACAGAGGAGCUUGCUCCUUGGGUGGCGAGUGGCGGACGGGUGAGGAAUACGUCGGAAUCUGCCUAUUUGUGGGGGAUAACGUAGGGAAACUUACGCUAAUACCGCAUACGACCUACGGGUGAAAGCGGAGGACCUUCGGGCUUCGCGCAGAUAGAUGAGCCGACGUCGGAUUAGCUAGUUGGCGGGGUAAAGGCCCACCAAGGCGACGAUCCGUAGCUGGUCUGAGAGGAUGAUCAGCCACACUGGAACUGAGACACGGUCCAGACUCCUACGGGAGGCAGCAGUGGGGAAUAUUGGACAAUGGGCGCAAGCCUGAUCCAGCCAUGCCGCGUGUGUGAAGAAGGCCUUCGGGUUGUAAAGCACUUUUGUCCGGAAAGAAAAGCUUC